AUUUGUACCUGCUAUGAUUUCACCAUCUCAAGAUUCAGAAUGGAAUGGGUACCAGGCUCCCAUUUAUCCAUCAGAAAUCAGCGUGCUUCCACCUCCAACAUACGUCGUGAACAAUAUAGCAUCGGAGACGGAUCUCUAUUCUUCUCAUCAGCAGGUGGACGAAUAUCCAGAACGACCUGGUCAACCCGAAUGCAGUUACUUUCUAAAGACGGGAGAUUGUAAAUUUAAAUCUCUUUGCAA
rnacentral:misc_RNA from 1 species